rnacentral:rRNA from 1 species
CGCCUCUUGAUUACCAUAAGAGGUCUAGCCUGCCCAGUGACUUUAGUUCAACGGCCGCGGUAUCCUAACCGUGCGAAGGUAGCAUAAUCACUUGUCCUUUAAAUAAGGACCUGUAUCAAUGGCUUAACGAAGGCUAUACUGUCUCCUUACUCCAAUCAGUGAAACUGAUCUCCCCGUGAAAAAGCAGGGAUAAUAUUAUUAGACGAGAAGACCCCAUGGAGCUUUAAGCCCAGCAACAACCUCCUCCCACUAUUCCCUUUAAAACUUAAAGAUCUUGCUUGCCGCUUUGGGUUGGGGCGACCACGAAGUAUACUAAAACCUUCAUGAUAAAUAGAGCUUGCUCCUUAUCCAUGAGCUACCCCUCUAAGAAUCAGAACCCUGAUAUAAAAUGAUCCGAUUUAAUCGAUCAACGAACCAAGUUACCCUGGGGAUAACAGCGCAAUCCAUUUAAAGAGUUC